CUGACGGCUCAGUAACACACGGAUAAUCUGCCCUUAGGUGGAGGAUAAUCUCGGGAAACUGAGAAUAAUACUGCAUAGGUCUAGGAGGCUGGAAUGCACUUAGACUGAAAGCUUCGGCGCCUAAGGAUGAGUCUGCGGACUAUCAGGUUGUAGUCAGGGUAACGACCUGACUAGCCUAUGACGGAUACGGGUUGUGAGAGCAAUAACCCGGAGAUGAUAUCUGAGACACGAUAUCAGGCCCUACGGGGCGCAGCAGGCGCGAAAACUUCGCAAUGUGCGAAAGCACGACGAGGGAAUCCCAAGUGCUGGCUCGUUAGAGUCAGCUGUUUUUAUGUCUAAAAAGCAUAGAGAGUAAGUGCUGGGUAAGACGGGUGCCAGCCGCCGCGGUAAUACCUGCAGCACAAGUGGUGGCCGCUAUUAUUGGGCCUAAAACGUCCGUAGCCUGUUUACUAAAUGCCUAGGUAAAUUGUGUGGCUUAACCAUACGAAUUCUGGGUAGACUGGUAAACUUGAGACCGGGAGAAACUAGAGGUACUCCUGGGGUAGAGGUGAAAUUCUGUAAUCCAAGGGGGACCACCAGUGGCGAAGGCUUCUAGCUAGAACGGGUUUUGACGGUGAGGGACGAAGCCCGGGGGCGCAAACG
rnacentral:rRNA from 1 species